AUUGCAGGAGAGUCUACUUGUAGGAUGACAAGUUGUCGCAUCUCGAGCAUGUCUCAUAGGAGAGUGGAAUGAAGUCCAUUGUAGUGACAGUAGCAGAUGUGCCAUUGUUAUAUUGUGUAAUUCUGUUUGUUUUUGCUAUAUUCCUGUGUAAGGAAAUGUAUUUAGGAGAUGACUUAUUGUGUUAUGUAAACCUGGGAGAUGUAUUAUGUGAUGUUAUAUGAUGGAUCAUUUUAAUUCAACUUGGAGAUUUC
rnacentral:lncRNA from 1 species